rnacentral:snoRNA from 1 species
GGCGAGGCUAGAGUCUCGCCCGGGCAUGGCGUUGCCCCGGCGUGCUGGGAGUCCUCGGAGAGCAGCCCCCUGGCCUUAUUCGCUGGCUGUGGCCCCGUGGCCGAGCCAGUCACCAGGCCAGGGACAGGC